UACGGAGGGUGCGAGCGUUAAUCGGAAUUACUGGGCGUAAAGCGCGCGUAGGUGGCUUGUUAAGCAGAAUGUGAAAUCCCCGGGCUUAACCUGGGAACUGCAUCCUGAACUGGCAGGCUAGAGUAUAGUAGAGGACAGUGGAAUUUCUGGUGUAGCGGUGAAAUGCGUAGAUAUCAGAAGGAACAUCAGUGGCGAAGGCG
rnacentral:rRNA from 1 species